AAAUUGAAGAGUUUGAUCAUGGCUCAGAUUGAACGCUGGCGGCAGGCCUAACACAUGCAAGUCGAACGGUAACAGGAAGCAGCUUGCUGCUUUGCUGACGAGUGGCGGACGGGUGAGUAAUGUCUGGGAAACUGCCUGAUGGAGGGGGAUAACUACUGGAAACGGUGGCUAAUACCGCAUAACGUCGCAAGACCAAAGAGGGGGACCUUCGGGCCUCUUGCCAUCAGAUGUGCCCAGAUGGGAUUAGCUUGUUGGUGAGGUAACGGCUCACCAAGGCGACGAUCCCUAGCUGGUCUGAGAGGAUGACCAGCCACACUGGAACUGAGACACGGUCCAGACUCCUACGGGAGGCAGCAGUGGGGAAUAUUGCACAAUGGGCGCAAGCCUGAUGCAGCCAUGCCGCGUGUAUGAAGAAGGCCUUCGGGUUGUAAAGUACUUUCAGCGGGGAGGAAGGUGUUGUGGUUAAUAACCACAGCAAUUGACGUUACCCGCAGAAGAAGCACCGGCUAACUCCGUGCCAGCAGCCGCGGUAAUACGGAGGGUGCAAGCGUUAAUCGGAAUUACUGGGCGUAAAGCGCACGCAGGCGGUCUGUCAAGUCGGAUGUGAAAUCCCCGGGCUCAACCUGGGAACUGCAUUCGAAACUGGCAGGCUUGAGUCUUGUAGAGGGGGGUAGAAUUCCAGGUGUAGCGGUGAAAUGCGUAGAGAUCUGGAGGAAUACCGGUGGCGAAGGCGGCCCCCUGGACAAAGACUGACGCUCAGGUGCGAAAGCGUGGGGAGCAAACAGGAUUAGAUACCCUGGUAGUCCACGCCGUAAACGAUGUCUACUUGGAGGUUGUGCCCUUGAGGCGUGGCUUCCGGAGCUAACGCGUUAAGUAGACCGCCUGGGGAGUACGGCCGCAAGGUUAAAACUCAAAUGAAUUGACGGGGGCCCGCACAAGCGGUGGAGCAUGUGGUUUAAUUCGAUGCAACGCGAAGAACCUUACCUGGUCUUGACAUCCACGGAACUUUCCAGAGAUGGAUUGGUGCCUUCGGGAACCGUGAGACAGGUGCUGCAUGGCUGUCGUCAGCUCGUGUUGUGAAAUGUUGGGUUAAGUCCCGCAACGAGCGCAACCCUUAUCCUUUGUUGCCAGCGGUUAGGCCGGGAACUCAAAGGAGACUGCCAGUGAUAAACUGGAGGAAGGUGGGGAUGACGUCAAGUCAUCAUGGCCCUUACGACCAGGGCUACACACGUGCUACAAUGGCGCAUACAAAGAGAAGCGACCUCGCGAGAGCAAGCGGACCUCAUAAAGUGCGUCGUAGUCCGGAUUGGAGUCUGCAACUCGACUCCAUGAAGUCGGAAUCGCUAGUAAUCGUGGAUCAGAAUGCCACGGUGAAUACGUUCCCGGGCCUUGUACACACCGCCCGUCACACCAUGGGAGUGGGUUGCAAAAGAAGUAGGUAGCUUAACCUUCGGGAGGGCGCUUACCACUUUGUGAUUCAUGACUGGGGUGAAGUCGUAACAAGGUAACCGUAGGGGAACCUGCGGUUGGAUCACCUCCUUACCUUAAAG
rnacentral:rRNA from 1 species